GGGGAGAUGUCUCCCUGGCUGAAGCAACAAAGCCAGUAUUAGAGAGUUAUCGCAACAAGUGUGAGUUUACCAUCGGCAAGAGUGUAGAUGGCAUUGAUAACACUGUUGGUUUCCGGCUUGGCGCUUACAAAGGU